rnacentral:lncRNA from 1 species
CAUGACUUGAUUUUGAAUGUUCGGUUGAGUUUAAGUUCGGUAAUGCCUCGUACCUUGUUCCAGCGUCGGAUACGGGUAAGAGGUGUUACAGUUCCAUUAACUUCUUUAGGUUAUUCAAUUACUCUGAGAAGUGUGGUAAUGAGAAGGUGCACGUUUAGGAUUGGACCUGGCAAGGAAAGGCAAGGUUUUUAAGUGGUCAAAUACGACUCACCUCCCUUUCUUAGAACUCUACCUG